CUGCUACUGUAAUUUAGUGCUACUGGAUACAAUUAUGUAUCGUAAAAAUGUUUUUAUGCAACACCGAAAUGUGGGGAAUUCACAAUACCGGCGGUCAUGAAUUCCCUAAAGGCAUUGUAGGUGCUAUGAAGAGGGAGCCUUAGUGUCACAGCACACGUGUUUGCCUCUGGGUACUUUUUCUUCUGCUGCCCAGCGAGACGCCCUCGCGCUGUGUGGAGGAAUUCGAUGGUCGGGGUGUCCUCAAACCCAAGGGGUGGCACCACCGUUGCCCCAGUAGCAACCUCCAACACCAGCGCCACUGUUAGAGGAGGACAUUCUCCAUCUGAGGAGUACACAGUAAAACCAUUAAAGUACAUAUUUAAAUCACAAAAUGGAAUAAUAUGCAGUUACCGAUAAACUGGAACAAUUGACUAUUUUACCUUGCACCUCAGCCAGCCAGUUGAACCAGUGGCAGAUGGUGUCAUUCUCCAAACACCGCCGGUUGCAUUCAGACCCAAACGGCGUUCCAUACAGUGAACCCAGCGGAGAGACGGGAGCUGCGGCAGAACGAAAAGAAGAGGGAGGGUCUCCUCAGCCCAGCAGAGAAGUGGUCUCAGCUCCAGAAAGGCACCCACCACAGAGAGAGAAUGGAGGAUGAGGCCUGAUGAUCGGAGGAUCUCCUCCCUCUGCACAGUGAUGCUAGCUGCUGAGAGAAUCCCCUCCCUCUGUGAAGGGACACUGGCUGUUUGGAGGAUUCCCUCCCUCUGUGCAGGGACACUGGCUGUUUGGAGGAUUCCCUCCCUCUGUGAAGGUACACUGGCUGUUUGGAGGAUACCCUCCCUCUGUGACAGGAUGAGGCCUGAUGCUUGGACGAUCUCCUCCCUCUGCACAGCAACUUCGGCUGCUGUGAUGAUCUGCAGGAAUUCUGUAGAAGCAGCCUUUAUUUUCAGACUCUGCAGGCCUGCUGGGAGGAAACAUAUUACAAUAAACAGAAGAAGGUCAUGGUCCAUUAUCUGCUGCUCCAGAGUCAAGGCCAGGUCCCGCCCCAUGUCACCACGGAGCACAUGAGCAACUGGCUGGUGUCUCAGGGCAAAAAAUCCCUUAGGGAGAGGGUGUGGAAGGAAACCCUGGAGGAGGGAAACGACCUCGCUCGGCUGGCCUGGGAAGUAAACACUUGCCUAAAAAUGAUGGACAUAGAGCACGAGGCUUUCUGCAAGCUCCGCCGCUCCAUGCACUCCACCUCGCCAGCUGACAUGUGAGUUCCAUGUACUGCCCUGCAUGACUUGAUCCAUUUAUCUACACAUCUGGAACUACGCAGAAACAGACUAAGACAGUGUUCUCUGUGAGGACAUUGCACAUCGUUUA
rnacentral:lncRNA from 1 species